rnacentral:lncRNA from 1 species
CACUGGACUAUGUAAUUUUAUUAUUAUUAAUGAUUAUGUAGUUUUAUUUCCGCUGCCAAUUGUACUCUGAAUCCGAAGGCCUGGCGAGGGUGUUACAUGCAUCUUCGGCGUAGGUACCGAUGCAUGUCCUUGUUAUGCCAUUACCGGUGAGUCGGGGACUUUCGGCAUUUGGCGAUUGUACGCUUCUCGGAUGAAACCGGAGGAAGAAUGGUUAGAGUCGCUAUAGAGGGAGUAGAUCGCUAAUCAAAUGAUACUGCAACUCCAAGCGACCAUUGACAGAGACCUAACACUACCCCAUGAGCUUCCCCCUACAUAGGUACAAGUUAUUUACUAUCGUAG